AUUGAACGCUGGCGGUAUGCUUAACACAUGCAAGUCGAACGGUAACAGGCCUUCGGGCGCUGACGAGCGGCGGACGGGUGAGCAACGCGUAGGAAUCUGCCUCAUAGUGGGGGACAACGUGGGGAAACUCACGCUAAUACCGCAUACGCCCUACGGGGGAAAGCGGGGGAUCUUCGGACCUCGCGCCAUGAGAUGGGCCGGCGUUAGAUUAACUAGUUGGUAGGGUAAAGGCCUACCAAGGCGACGAUCUAGAGCUGGUCUGAGAGGACGAUCAGCCACACUGGGACUGAGACACGGCCCAGACUCCUACGGGAGGCAGCAGUGGGGAAUAUUGGACAAUGGGCGCAAGCCUGAUCCAGCAAUACCGCGUGUGUGAAGAAGGCCCUAGGGUUGUAAAGCACUUUCAAUUGGGAGGAAAACCUGCCGGUCAAUACCCGGCAGCUUGACAUUACCUUUAGAAGAAGCACCGGCUAACUCCGUGCCAGCAGCCGCAGUAAAAC
rnacentral:rRNA from 1 species